CUUCAGAUGCCUUCUGAGCUCCACAACUUCUUCUCCAAGCUGGCUCUCUGAUGCACGUCUUAGGUCUACUUCCUUCUUCAACUGAACAUCUUUGUCCCUAAGCUGCUUUUCCAAGUCUCUUAUCUUCUUCUGGUAAUUGGCUUCAGCUUUCUGCAACUUCAAACGCUCGUGGCGUUCUUCCUUCAGCAAUGUCUCUAUCUCCUCAUAAGACCUCUUCUUGCUCUUCAAUUUGCUAGCAUCUUC
rnacentral:lncRNA from 1 species